UUCGCGCACCCUGCCGCCGCCUCGCCCUUCCCCAGCUCUGUCCGCGUCGCCGCCGGCCGCCUCCGGGGCCUUGACCCUACCCGGCGCCUCCCUCCCCGGCCCCGAUGCGCGGCGGUGCCUCCCCGGCACCAACUCGGUGCGGCACCUCCCCGGCCCCGACGCGGCGCGACCGCCUCCCCGGGCGGAUCUGCGCGCUCCGCGGCACCGGCGCCUCCCCUCCCCCUCUCUUCUUCUGGGCGGCGCGCACCUCCUCCUCCUCCUCCUCUGCUGGCUUUUCUCUCUACACAUGGAGGCUAGGGUCUGUGAUGCGCUAGUGCCGGCAAGGAGGACCCUCCGGCCCUUCGUCCUCUCCGCCGAGCUCCCCUCACGAAUCGCUGAGAUAUUAGUGAGCUCAACCUACCAAAGACCACAUUGAUUUCUUUUCCCAAUGACAAGGAUGAUCUGAUAAAUUUUGAUAUUACAUGGAGGCACUUUUGUUUUCACCUUUCAAGUGUCUCCAUCUUAUCCUCAUGAUCCCCCGAAGGUCAAAUGCAAGACCAAGGCAGGUUUAUUGCAUGCUUAUAUACCCUAUUCUACUUGGAGUGAGAUGGGUGUAGCAUUCCGUAACAUGCCUUCAGGUGUACCAUCCAAAUAUUGAUUUGGAAGGUAAUGUAUGACCACAUUCUGCUUGAAGACUCGAAGCCUGUUCUCAACAUCAACACUGUUAUAUAUGGCCUGAAUCUUCUUUUUACGGUAUUUCAGCUAUCUUGAUUCCCCAAUUGUACAGCCAUCAUCGAUAUCUCCACAAACUAGAUAAGAUGUACACAAAAUAGUGGAUGGUUAUGGUGGUAUGCCAAAAUAGUAGGGGAUUUGGCAUGAGAAAUUAAUUGAGUUAACCAGUGUAUGUAUGGACUUGUAUGUUGUAUCAUGAGGACUUUGGUUUACGCAUGUGGAUAUGUAUAUGGAUAUGAAUUCUGUUUAA